CAGAGCAUGCCCGCCUGACCGCCGUUUCUCCGCUCUGAAGAUAAUCAACGGAAGACGUGCCGUGUGCGCACAGCUGCGUUCGUCCGGUUUUUGGUCCAUCUUGUGCAGUCAGCGUUGUUCCCCUGUAACGAGCAUCAGCGCGGAAUGGAUUGCUCCGUUUCAUUCCCGAUUUGGUGAGAUGUUGCACUGGAUGCUUAUAGCCUACCCUUUACAUCAGCUCACCCCUGUGCGUUCAUCUCACUCUGUAUGCAGUAGCGCCUUGUCAGCGUAGACAGGGCAAAGAAAAGUAUGCAAUAAACAAGUGUCAAGUCGCUUCGGGCUGUUCGAUUGGAGGGAAGGAAAAGUUGAAGUUGAAGACGGAGGAUUAUGCAGUGAGUGCCGCGCAUUGCUGGAAUCAGAAUCCAGGCACGUUUUCUGGAGUAUGUCGAAAGGCUUCCUGGGAAAUAUAGAAAAUCACUAACUGAAGCAGAAGUAGAUGAAGGAUGGUUGACAGAAAGUGGAUACAACAGAAAGGUGACUGAAGUGAAGACUGACAUUACGGAGGCCCACUAGGAGGCCCCUCCAUCUCCCCCCACCACCACCACCU